GGGUCGUGGAUUAGCUCGGAAGAUCGUUCGCUUGGCAUGCGAAAGGCCGCGGGUUCGAAUCUCGCUGAUUUGGCG
rnacentral:tRNA from 1 species